GUGACCAGGGCUGAGAACCUGCCCCAAACCACUAGCCUCCCUAUUGAGAAAGCAAGCAGACUCAGUUUUUCUGCAUCUCAGGAGCCUGCAGCCGUGAUCCAGUUCUUUCAAUGGGUUUGUGGAUUCUCUUGGCUUUCCUGUUUUUCUCCAUAAAGAUCUGAUCCACUCUGAGGAUGCUAAGAAAACCCAGUCUCCCAAGUCCACAGAGCUAAGAAUCAGAUUCUGAAGUGAGAAGUCUGAGAACAUGAUGCCCUGUACAGUAACUUCCUUUCCUCACGAUGAAAGUACAUGUCAAUAACCAUGCUCUGACAUGGUUGAAAAUAAUGAAGUAGAAGUAGCAUAUAUUUUAAAAGAAUAAUAAAAGGAAGACAAGAAAAGUGGUAACAUGAAACAGGACUUUAUAGAUGGGAAGACUUCUUUUCUAUCUGCAUUUGGGCAGAGGGAAGGGAAAGGAAUCAUACUGUCAAGGGCAGUUUAUCUUACCUCUUUUUUUUUUUCUUUUAACCCCUUUAUUAAAAAAAGAAAAAAAAAAAAAAAGAAUGGGACCAAGCGACUUCAGAAAGGCUACUGAGUGUGGCAGCCACUUAACCAUUGAGAAAGGGGCUCCAUCCACACUGUAAAAAGUCUCCAGCCAGCUAGACCAAGCAGCACUCCUCCCCACAGCCACUUUCAGGUUGUCUUUCCGAUCCAGAAAGCUAAAUUAGAAGUUAAGAGGCGUCAAUUUUGCUUUUCACAUUGCAAAUAAAAGAUGAAAGAGCCCUAACUCCCCAGGAUAUAAUUCAUGAAAGAAAAUCACCUAAGUGGGAUUCAGAGUAGUGAAAUAACUUGCGUUUGGAUUUGACUUUGCCAGUCAAUCUGUAAGCCCCAUAUUUAAGUUAUUCCAAAUUAAAGAUUUUUUUUUUUCCUGAAAUUUUCUCAAAAUGGCCAAAGGGAAACAGGUCAUUUUCUCUCCUAAGUAAUUAUGAGAGAGUAGUUGCAGUGUGUGAAGCCAUCUGUGAAAAUCGGGUUUGAGCUGACAAUAAUGUCUGAAGAUAUGAAAGAUUUCCAUAUUUAAACAUGUACCUAUUGUCAGGCCUCUGAGCCCAAGCCAAGCCAUCGCAUCCCCUGUGACUUGCACGUAUAUGCCCAGAUGGCCUGAAGUAACUGAAGAAUCACAAAAGAAGUGAAAAUGCCCUGCCCCACCUUAACUGAUGACAUUCCACCACAAAAGAAGUGUAAAUGGCCGGUCCUCAACUUAAGUGAUGACAUUACCUGGUGAAAGUCUUUUUCCUGGCUCAUCCUGGCUCAAAAAGCUCCCCCACUGAGCACCUUGUGACCCCCACUCCUGCCCGCCAGAGAACAAACCCCCUUUGACUGUAAUUUUCCUUUACCUUCCCAAAUCUUAUAAAACGGCCCCACCCCUGUCUCCCUUCACUGACUCUCUUUUCGGACUCAGCCCGCCUGCACCCAGGUGAAAUAAACAGCCAUGUUGCUCACACAAAGCCUGUUUGGUGGUUUCUUCACAUGGACUCGAGUGAAAUUUGGUGCCAUGACUCAGAUCGGGGGACCUCCCUUGGGAGAUCAAUCCCCCGUCCUCCUGUUCUUUGCUCCGUGAGAAAGAUCCACCUAUGACCUCAGGUCCUCAGACCAACCAGCCCAAGAAACAUCUCACCAAUUUCAAAUCUGGUAAGCAGCCUCUUCUUAC